rnacentral:rRNA from 1 species
AGGCUUUGAUCCUGGCUCAGGAUGAACGCUGGCGGCGUGCUUAACACAUGCAAGUCGAACGAACCUUCGGGUUAGUGGCGGACGGGUGAGUAACGCGUGAGAAUCUGCCCUCAGGAGGGGGAUAACGGCUGGAAACGGCCGCUAAUACCCCAUAUGCCGAGAGGUGAAACGAGUUUUCGCCUGAGGAUGAGCUCGCGUCUGAUUAGCUAGUUGGUGGGGUAAGAGCUUACCAAGGCAUCGAUCAGUAGCUGGUCUGAGAGGAUGAUCAGCCACACUGGGACUGAGACACGGCCCAGACUCCUACGGGAGGCAGCAGUGGGGAAUUUUCCGCAAUGGGCGAAAGCCUGACGGAGCAACGCCGCGUGAGGGACGAAGGCCUCUGGGCUGUAAACCUCUUUUCUCAAGGAAGAAGAUCUGACGGUACUUGAGGAAUAAGCCACGGCUAUAUCCGUGC